GAUGAACGCUGGCGGCGUGCCUAAUACAUGCAAGUCGAGCGAACGGACGAGAAGCUUGCUUCUCUGAUGUUAGCGGCGGACGGGUGAGUAACACGUGGAUAACCUACCUAUAAGACUGGGAUAACUUCGGGAAACCGGAGCUAAUACCGGAUAAUAUUUUGAACCGCAGGGUUCAAAAGUGAAAGACGGUCUUGCUGUCACUUAUAGAUGGAUCCGCGCUGCAUUAGCUAGUUGGUAAGGUAACGGCUUACCAAGGCAACGAUGCAUAGCCGACCUGAGAGGGUGGUCGCCCACCGUGGAACUGAGACACGGUCCAGACUCCUACGGGAGGCCGCAGUCGGCAAUCUGCCGCAGAGGGCGAAAGCCUUACGGAGCAACGCCGCGUGAGUGAUGAAGGUCUUCGGAUCGUAAAACUCUGUUAUUAGGGAAGAACAUAUGUGUAAGUAACUGUGCACAUCGUGACGGUACCUAAUCAGAAAGCCACGGCUAACUACGUG
rnacentral:rRNA from 1 species